rnacentral:rRNA from 1 species
UACGUAGGGGCAAGCGUUGUCCGGAAUUAUUGGGCGUAAAGCGCGCGCAGGCGGUCUCUUAAGUCUGAUGUGAAAUCUCGCAGCUUAACUGUGAGCGGUCAUUGGAAACUGAGGGACUUGAGGACAGGUGAGGAGAGUGGAAUUCCACGUGUAGCGGUGAAAUGCGUAGAGAUGUGGAGGAACACCAGUGGCGAAGGCGACUCUCUAGUCUGUAUCUGACGCUGAGGUGCAAAAGCGUGGGUAGCAAACAGGA